AAGUUUGGAGAGUUUGAAGGAGAGUUGCUCCAAAACUCCACGUUGGGAUCGUUCAUCUUCUUGUUUUCAAGAGGUAAGUGAAGAUCCUGAGCUUGUUUUCAUGUUUUCUGAAGGUUUUAGAAGGGUUUUGGGUAGAGUUGCAUGAAUAGGGUAAAAAGUGAGGGUUUUGGUGUGUUGUUGCUAACAGCAUGUUUAUGUGUUAUAUGUGUUGUGUUGUUGGGGUUUUUAGGUAGUUUCUGACCCCUUUUAGCAUAUACUUGGGUGUAUGCGAGUUGAGGA
rnacentral:lncRNA from 1 species